UUUAAUGUUUGAAGGGGAAAACUUUCCGUGUUAUUAUUGUAUUUACUUCAUCGCUUAACUGCAGUGAUCUUCAUUAAGUAGUAAAAUGACUCUGGACUCUGAACUGGAUCGUUUGAACACUUUCAUGAACGAGCGCUUGAUAGAUGCUGUGAAGGAGAUCAUCCUCACUGUCGCCAGGACGGUGCGCGAUUAUAAAGAGGAAACGGAGCGAGUCCGAAGCGAAAAUAAACGGCUAAAAGAAAUGUUACGGGACUCAGGAUGCUUCCCUGAACAAACAAAUCCUGGUAUGGUUGUUUAAAGCUCUCCAGGCUUGUCAGCCUGUUUCUCCUGGGCAGCUCGCGUGGAUUCCCAGACAGAAAGAGGAUCCAGAAUCCCUUAAAGAGAUCCAACAGAACCAGAGACAGAGCGAACAAUGCCCGCACAUUAAACUAGAAGAGUCUGUUUACUCUGACGACACUUGGCAAGAACCUGCAGACUCACCAUCAAACGUCAACGACAACACGGAUUCACUCUUAUGUGUGUCUGAGACAAAUCCUGCUGAUGAUGAAGUAACAGACUUGCCAACCAAAAUCAAAGAUGAAUUCCAAAACCCAAACUUUUCAGGCAAUGAGGAUGAAUUUCAGAGUUGGUCACCACAUGAUCUAGACCUCUCUUUAAGCACAGCAAACCUCUCCAGAUCACAACACCAAUAUCAACCUACAUACACUACCAAUAAAUCUCCUUCCACUUUAUUGAAGCACAGCAGUUUAUCUAGUAAUGUCCAUCAGAUUUCAAAUCACAAAAUAUUAUGUACCAAUACCUGCAAAUGUCACAGUAAAUGCUGUGAAUUGCAAAAGAAGAGAAUAGCCAAAUUGAGCCCUGUAUGGAAGUAUUUCUCUUUAAAAGAUGGAGACUGUAGCAAAGCAGUGUGCCUUAUGUGUAAAACCGUCAUAUCCCGUGGUCGCAAAGAGUACACCACAACAGCCCUUCUAAGGCACAUUCGCGUAAAACAUGGUAAAUGUUGACAUUAUCAUUUGUCAUCCAAGAAUUUAUUUGCAAUGUAUUCAGAAGGAAGUCAAGCACGUUGUCUUUGUACUCCUAAUGCUCAGUGCAUUUAAGUUAUGUUUUGAGACGAUAUGGACGGUUCACCAAGUCCUUCCAAAGGUUUUGAUGACUCCCAAAUUCUGAAUCCACAAAUGCCUCACAAAAAACUGAUGUUGGGGAUGGCUCCACGUGUCAAAAUAAUGUGAAACACCUGAGUCGAGAUUAGCUGAUCAGGCACCUCUGUCGAGGCACAUGCAAGAUCAGGCUGACAUGAACAAUGACACUAGCGAUGAUGGACCAAAUACAGGAUCACUAAGGUAUGCAUGUAGUAUAUACUAAUAUUUAAUUAGGAUUAAAAAGUAAAUCUGUGAUUUGAUAAAAGGG